rnacentral:rRNA from 1 species
AGAGUUUGAUCCUGGCUCAGAAUCAACGCUGGCGGCGUGCCUAACACAUGCAAGUCGAACGAGAAAGUGGUAGCAAUACCAUGAGUAAAGUGGCGCACGGGUGAGUAACACGUGACUAACCUACCCUUGAGUGGGGGAUAACUGAGGGAAACCUUAGCUAAUACCGCAUAAUACCCACGGGUCAAAGGAGCAAUUCGCUCGAGGAGGGGGUCGCGGCCGAUUAGUUAGUUGGCGGGGUAAUGGCCCACCAAGACGAUGAUCGGUAUCCGGCCUGAGAGGGCGCACGGACACACUGGAACUGAAACACGGUCCAGACUCCUACGGGAGGCAGCAGUGGGGAAUUUUGCGCAAUGGGGGAAACCCUGACGCAGCAACGCCGCGUGGAGGAUGAAGUCCUUCGGGACGUAAACUCCUUUCGAUCGGGACGAUAAUGACGGUACCGGAAGAAGAAGCCCCGGCUAACUUCGUGCCAGCAGCCGCGGUAAUACGAGGGGGGCGAGCGUUGUUCGGAAUUAUUGGGCGUAAAGGGUGCGUAGGCGGUUUGGUAAGUCUCGUGUGAAAUCUCUGGGCUCAACUCAGAGUCUGCACGAGAAACUGCCGGGCUUGAGUGUGGGAGAGGUGAGUGGAAUUUCCGGU